AACGAACGCUGGCGGCAGGCCUAACACAUGCAAGUCGAGCGAGGACUUCGGUUCUAGCGGCGGACGGGUGAGUAACGCGUGGGAAUGUGCCCUUCUCUACGGACUAGCCCUGGGAAACUGGGAGUAAUACCGUAUACGCCCUUUUGGGGAAAGAUUUAUCGGAGAAGGAUCAGCCCGCGUUGGAUUAGGUAGUUGGUGGGGUAAUGGCCUACCAAGCCGACGAUCCAUAGCUGGUUUGAGAGGAUGAUCAGCCACACUGGGACUGAGACACGGCCCAGACUCCUACGGGAGGCAGCAGUGGGGAAUCUUAGACAAUGGGGGCAACCCUGAUCUAGCCAUGCCGCGUGAGUGAUGAAGGCCUUAGGGUUGUAAAGCUCUUUCAGCUGGGAAGAUAAUGACGGUACCAGCAGAAGAAGCCCCGGCUAACUCCGUG
rnacentral:rRNA from 1 species